AUGAUCUCUUAUAUUCGUAAAAAUCCUUUUGUUCUUAAUUUACAAGAAUUACGAGCACGAAAAUUAUACCGCUGCGAAAAUUAUACAACUUACCCGCUGCGGCCUGGCACCCAUGCUCGAGUGUCUUCGCCAGACUGUGAAGUCCCCGUCUGCGGACUUGACUUUCGUCAAAAUCGGCAACCUACUGAUGAAAACCGUACUGGAACUCCAGAAGCUGCUAUCAGAAUCUGGAAUCGAGGAUAUAUUAGCUAUACUGAAAAAAGGUACGUGCUCCAUGAUAUUUUUAGACUACGUCCCGUCAGAGAAACUCAAGAAGACCUUGACGGAGUGCUGGUUCGCAGCCGAUCUGGCACCUACAUUAUCGGGAGCCACGGCGACCACAUCCAUGCCGUCCACCUCUGCACUUUCCGGAGGAGCACCUGCAGAUGUUACAUUACCAGUCUCCUCCGGGAGUGCUACGGGAAGUGGGUUUCUCGAAAAUCUAUUGGCCGGGACUCCGUCGGCCCCGACUACUGGGCUAAUAUCGCAAUUUAUCUUGGUGUCGGGGCCCGAAAAGUCCACAAGAUUAACGUCCCCGGGGGAAGUUGGGUAUAUGGCCGCGAAAAUAGACAUAUACCCCUUCGCCGAGUGUCUAGCGAGGGGGAAGCAGGACUGGUGGCGGGGGGCCACGAGGCGCGCUCUGUUCCUGUUUCAAAAUCCGAUGGAUCAAGAUUAUCUUCUCCUCAACCAGAUCUUGGAUCGGGCGGGGCAGAGGAUAUCUCAGAUCCCGGACUCCAAAUCGGAGACGUCAUGGCACUCGCCGCCCGUCGGAAUCCCUCAGCAGACAUUCGGCCAACGAAGGGGAUGAAGAUUCUAAAUUUUAUUCUGGCUAACCCAACUUCUCCUGUGGCGCGAGUCUUUGACUUGGCCAAGUGGCUGGAAGGCCCUUGGGCACCAGUGCCCAUAUAUACAAUUGUAAACCGUCGUUUAUUUUCGCUAAGCCGAACCGUAUCCGCUAUUGCAUCCGAAAUAGCUCAAAGGGAACGGGAAAACAACCUCACUAACACACUUUUAUACGAACAACAUCUCAAGACGCAAUAUCUGGACUACUUAUUAAACUACAAAUCCCCUGAUACGCAACUUUUUAUGGCCGCAAAAAACGCCUUCAACCAAUCCUUACCCACGACAACGGAUGAAGAAAAGUUCGAAUUACUACAUCUACAAUUCGUCCUCCAAGACCUGCAAGAGACGAUCUCUGACGGAUUCCACUGCAUUCAACAACAACAGGAAGAACAAGAUCUCCUGGAAUGCGUUAGACUUCUCUUUCUUUAA
rnacentral:lncRNA from 1 species